UAAACAUUGUAUUAUAUUUUGAAAUUAAACAUUGUAUUAUAUUUUGAAAUUAUAUUAUAUUUUUAGUUGAAAGUAAAGGCACCUAUGACACUCUUCGAGCCAGCACAAAAUAUUGUUGAUAAUAUCCUAGCUGAGCAUGUGGAUAACAGAGAACCAGAGGCAUCCAGACCCAUUUAUUCGAACCUGCUUCGAUAUUGUAAUCGGUUCCGACAAAAAGAGAGACCAGCUGAUCCAACAGAUCUUGAUUUUGAGAUCAAUGAAGAGUUUUUGGCAACAGCUAUUCCGGAGGUGUUUUUACAGAAAGACAUACACACAAAAGAUGGCCGACACCUACUUUUUGCCACAGAGAAGCAAAUUGAACUUCUUGGAAAAGCUAAGACAUGGUAUAUAGAUGGUACUUUUAGAACAGUAAACAAACCAUUUUACCAGCUAUUGUCAAUCCAUAGUUUUUUUAAAAUCUGGUGAAAGUAUCAAGCAAGUUCCCUUGGCGUUUGUACUGAUGUCAGGAAAGUCUAAAAGAGACUACAAGAAGGUAUUCAAGGCCAUCAUGGAUAUGACACCAUCAGCCCCUGCAGUGCAGGCUUUUGUUGCAGAUUUUGAGGCAGGGAUCUGGCAGGCUUUAAGGUCAGUUUUCGACAACCCAAGUAUACAUGGCUGUGCGUUCCAUUGGGGUCAGGCGGUUUGGAGAAAGAUCCAAGAAAACGGACUUCAGACUGCUUACAGCCAGAAAGAUGCUGUAUAUAAGUUUUUUUAGAAAAGUCCUUGCCUUGCCAUUCCUACCCGCUGAACAUAUAUUGCCAACAUUCAAUAAAUUAGAAGAAAAGGCCACAACCGAUCAAAUUAAAGUGGUUAUGAAAUACAUAAUAAUAAUAAUAAUGGAUGUCGAGGGAUGGCAUAAUCGAAUCAACCAAAAGGCCAGAAAAGGGAAUUUACAGUUUUAUCUACUGAUAUCUUUGUUGUAUAAAGAAGCAGCGCAGCUACCGACACAAAUGAAAAUGGUCUCAGAAGAAGACACCAGAAAAAACAAUCACGAACUACACAAAGCAAGUUAUUUCAACUUUGGAAUUUAUAUACCAGUCAGGAAAUAAGCACCAACCAGCUACUAAAAAGAUGUGGGGGGAUAUAUGGACCGAACUGAAGGACAGACUUACGUAAUAAAUGACUGACUGAACGACAAACUGACAGACUAAAUUACUAAAUGACUGGCCUAAUAAAAUGUAUUAGUUGAUGAUA